UGAAUCGUAAUGACACAUUGUAUCGUAUUAUCAUUGACACAUUGUAUCACGUUGUACUAAAAUUUUGUGACUUAUUAAUUAGAUUUCGAAAUAGUAUUAUUCAUGAUAUACUAAAUACUGCAUUCUGUUGUUAUGGGAUCAAGAAAAUACAUGAAUCUUUUUCGCAGCAGAGAAGCAUCAACACAACUCAAUUUACAACAAAUCAUAUCAGGCGUUUGUGUUUAAUUUUGUUGGUGAUGAAAUGGAGUUCCAAAUAAGAAGUGGCUCAUUUUGAAAGCUUGUUUGCAUGGCUUUCUCUUCUAACAAGGCUUUUCGAACGCUUUAAGAAAUGAAGACAGUCUUGGAACUCCUCCCAUCUCCGGAAGGAAAAAAAGAAGAACGUAAAUACGUGAUGGCUGAUGUUGGAAACAAAACGAUUCUGUGGUGCAGCUCGUUUGAAAAAAAAAUUUCUCUGGAAUCUUGCAGAAUGAAAAGAAAUGAUACCCACAGAACGGAGAGAGAAUUUCAUCUUAUUAUGUUCAUACUGAAAAUAAAAUGUGAUAUAUUAGUUCUAA